AGAGUUUGAUUAUGGCUCAGGAUGAACGCUAGCUACAGGCUUAACACAUGCAAGUCGAGGGGCAGCAUGGUCUUAGCUUGCUAAGGCUGAUGGCGACCGGCGCACGGGUGAGUAACACGUAUCCAACCUGCCGUCUACUCUUGGCCAGCCUUCUGAAAGGAAGAUUAAUCCAGGAUGGGAUCAUGAGUUCACAUGUCCGCAUGAUUAAAGGUAUUUUCCGGUAGACGAUGGGGAUGCGUUCCAUUAGAUAGUAGGCGGGGUAACGGCCCACCUAGUCAACGAUGGAUAGGGGUUCUGAGAGGAAGGUCCCCCACAUUGGAACUGAGACACGGUCCAA
rnacentral:rRNA from 1 species